rnacentral:rRNA from 1 species
UACGUAGGUGGCAAGCGUUGUCCGGAUUUACUGGGCGUAAAGAGCGCGCAGGCGGUCGUUCAAGUCGCGUGUGAAAGCCCCCAGCUCAACUGGGGAGGGUCACGCGAUACUGAUCGACUCGAAGGCAGGAGAGGGUAGUGGAAUUCCCGGUGUAGAGGUGAAAUUCGUAGAUAUCGGGAGGAACACCGGUGGCGAAGGCGGCGACCUGGGUGGAUACUGACGCUGAGGCGCGAAAGCGUGGGGAGCAAACAGG